rfam:Myotis davidii contig128370, whole genome shotgun sequence.
GGCAGUUCUCAGGUGACGCACUCUGGAAUCAGGCUCCCUCCUCUCUGGUUCUGGCAUAUGUCACCCUAGAACUGCA